rnacentral:lncRNA from 1 species
CCCAAGAGAAUCAUAGGAAUCCAAGACCCACCCACAGGUGGUCCAAGAAAAGCCCAAAGCCUGGGAGGAGGACAGUCCACAUGACCAGCCAGAUGCUGCCUUGCCUGCCUCAGAGGAACUGCCCUUACCAUGUCUAACAGGAAGAACUUCUAGGAAACCACCAAACUGCUAUAAAAAAGGGGGCCAACCACUGUGCAACCACUACAUAGAAGUUACGUGACUCACCUUUCAUUCAGUACCUCCCUUCAAGGAAAGCCCUGUCUCUGGUCCUUGGGCUGGGAUCACACAGAGUUCUUGGGAUGACCCUGGCUCUCCCGCGCCAGCCGCCCUGCUGCCAA